CUGGAAGGUCGGUAGGGGGAGUAAAGGCUAUCAUCUCCCUAUUCUUUUGUUGUUGCUUCACUCUGAAGACUCUUCCGGCAUCUCCUGCAUAUCCUGCGCCUGCGCAGGGUCAGACGCCGGUAGUCACCUCAUAGAAGACGGAAAUCAGCUCAUGGAAGGGCGCUUGUUGCGCGAAACAGUUCUGUCCUGCACACCUCUGCCCUUCACUGUCUGUCUACUGGAAGUUACCAUGCUUUAUCUGCCACAAUAAAGCGACACUACGAUUGGAUUUGAAUGUCUCCACUAAACAAUUGGAUUCCUCUGUAAUCUUGUCUUCUACGGAUCUUUUCCCCAUACCAAAAUCCCGUAAUGUAGAAAGAGUGAAACGUCUCAAGGCUUUCCAGCUAUGUCCAUUAGAGAAGACAAGACCUGAAGAACAAACAUCAAUCAUAUCCUGAGUGAGCGAGUUUCGCUUUCAACUGUAUGAACACAUGAGCAUGCAUGUAUCACACCUGGCCAGGUUUACAUUUUGCGCACUCGUCAGUUAGAAGUUACAGACCUGGGCCAAUCAGCAGUGGAGGUGGGGUACUUCAUUUCUCCUCAGCCUUCUGGCUAUUGUUUUAAGCUUUGUUCUGCCUGUUUUAGUUCUGACAUGUCACUUUGAUUUUGCCAUGGCUUUGUAGUACUGAUACGUUUGUUUAGUUUUUAGCCUAGUUCUGUUUGUUUUUUGAUCUGUCUGUACUUUUGGCCGGUUUUAUCCUGUCUAGUUUGUGUAUGUUACUUAAACCUGUAUCUUGACUUGUAUUCAGACCUGUUUAUUUUUUUUACCUCACCACAUCAAGGGUCCUGAUUAAUUGCUUCUCUUGCUUUGCCCCCAGUCUGGUGUGUACUUUGUUGUUGCUAAUUUGAACCUGAACCUGUAUCAUGACUUGUAUUCAGACCUAUUUGUAUAGGUCCUGAUACAUUGCUUUUUGCUUUGCCCCUAUGUGUUUCUGUGUUUAGUCUUGUGGGAUCCUGUACCUGUGUAUCUUGAUCUGUAUAGUGUCCUGACUUUAGCUACUUGUUCACUUACCUUCAUUCCUGGUUAACCUGCCGCUAUAUCCCGUAUGAUAUACGUAAUGACAUACCGUAUUUUUCGCCGUAUAAGACGCACUUUUUCUUCCCCAAAACGUGGGGGGAAAAGUUGGUGCGUCUUAUACGGCGAAUAUACGCCCGAGGCUGCUGCGGGCUAGAGCGGGAAGUCAGCGGUAAGUACAGAGGCUGCGGCGGUGCGGUACAGCGCUGACUACCCGCUCCCCACCCGCAGCAGCCUCAUGACCGCCGGUGAAUUUUUCACCUCUCACCGGCUAUGUUUAUUGCCCUACGCCUGGAACAUACAGUUCCG